AACAGGAUUAGAUACCCUGGUAGUCCAUGCCGUAAACGAUGAGUGCUAAGUGUUGGAGGGUUUCCGCCCUUCAGUGCUGCAGCUAACGCAUUAAGUAAUCCGCCUGGGGAGUACGACCGCAAGGUUGAAACUCAAAAGAAUUGACGGGGGCCCGCACAAGCGGUGGAGCAUGUGGUUUAAUUCGAAGCUACGCGAAGAACCUUACCAGGUCUUGACAUCUUCUGCCAACCUAAGAGAUUAGGCGUUCCCUUCGGGGACAGAAUGACAGGUGGUGCAUGGUUGUCGUCAGCUCGUGUCGUGAGAUGUUGGGUUAAGUCCCGCAACGAGCGCAACCCUUAUUACUAGUUGCCAGCAUUCAGUUGGGCACUCUAGUGAGACUGCCGGUGACAAACCGGAGGAAGGUGGGGACGACGUCAAAUCAUCAUGCCCCUUAUGACCUGGGCUACACACGUGCUACAAUGGAUGGUACAACGAGUCGCGAAACCGCGAGGUUUAGCUAAUCUCUUAAAACCAUUCUCAGUUCGGACUGUAGGCUGCAACUCGCCUACGCGAAGUCGGAAUCGCUAGUAAUCGCGGAUCAGCAUGCCGCGGUGAAUACGUUCCCGGGCCUUGUACACACCGCCCGUCACACCAUGAGAGUUUGUAACACCCAAAGCCGGUGGGGUAACCUUUUAGGAGCUAGCCGUCUAAGGUGGGACAGAUGAUUAGGGUGAAGUCGUAACAAGGUAACC
rnacentral:rRNA from 1 species